GUUCGUCUUCAGGGCAGGGUGUAAUUCCCGACCGGUGGUAAAGUCCACGACCCGCGUUUUCGCGGCCGAUUCGGUGAAAUUCCGAAACCGAUAGUGAGAGUCUAGUAUAAAGAAGAUGGGG
rnacentral:ncRNA from 2 species